rnacentral:lncRNA from 1 species
AAGGGUAUAUGUCUAAUUAAAUUACAUGAAUUGUCAAAUCUCAAAAAAAAUCUCUUGUAAUCUCAAUAAACGAGGCUGAACAAACACUGACAUUAAUAUAAAACCGCUACUACUCUUGAUAUUAGAUGAUCAUUUUGGAAGUCUUGCAUUUGUUCUAAGAAAAGUAAAAAUGAAAUUCGCAAGUGCUUUUCUGUUGUUAACUCUUUUGGUAGGAAUUUCAGUUUUUAUUGCUGAAGCAGAUCCCCACGGCUGUCCUCAAACUCAAAGCUGUAUUAGCUAUUGUCAGAGCAGAAAUUAUGAUACAGGACGAUGCAUUUCACAAAAGAAAGGAAGGCGUCAAACAUGGAAUUGCAAGUGUUCUUAAAAGAAUAGGAAAUGAAGGAUGCUAAUACCAAGUUCCAUUAUUCUUAUGGUCUUGGACAUAAGCACAGUUCUUGUGAAAUAUUCUGUAUGUGUUUCUAAUUCUGAAUCUAAGUCUGAAUCUGAUUCAUUGAUGCAUCAUUCGUAAUAUGUAUCAAAAUUUAAAAAAAAUAAAGGAUGGAUGACGAAA